GGAGCCGUGCCUGAAAAUAAAGGACCACUUUGAUAGAGUGACUCACGGGGGUUAAAAUCCCCCCGACUCCU
rnacentral:tRNA from 1 species